GACAGAGGGUGCAAACGUUGUUCGGAAUUACUGGGCGUAAAGCGCGUGUAGGCGGCUUCGCAAGUCGGGUGUGAAAUCCCACGGCUCAACCGUGGAAGUGCAUUCGAAACUGCGAGGCUAGAGUCCUGGAGAGGAAGGUGGAAUGCUUGGUGUAGAGGUGAAAUUCGUAGAGAUCGGGUGGAACACCAGUGGCGAAGGCGCCUAUCUGGCUGACAACUGACGCUGAGACUCGAAAGCAUGGGGAGCAAACAGG
rnacentral:rRNA from 1 species